rnacentral:tRNA from 1 species
GGUAGUAUGGCUGAUUAAGCGGUAAUCUGUAAAAUUAUAUAUAGGGCAAUGGCCCUUACUGCCA